UGGGGAAUAUUGCACAAUGGGCGCAAGCCUGAUGCAGCGACGCCGCGUGAGGGAUGACGGCCUUCGGGUUGUAAACCUCUUUCAAAUAGGGACGAAGCGCAAGUGACGGUACCUAUAGAAGAAGGACCGGCCAACUACGUGCCAGCAGCCGCGGUAAUACGUAGGGUCCGAGCGUUGUCCGGAAUUACUGGGCGUAAAGAGCUCGUAGGUGGUUUGUCGCGUUGUUCGUGAAAACUCACAGCUUAACUGUGGGCGUGCGGGCGAUACGGGCAGACUAGAGUACUGCAGGGGAGACUGGAAUUCCUGGUGUAGCGGUGGAAUGCGCAGAUAUCAGGAGGAACACCGGUGGCGAAGGCGGGUCUCUGGGCAGUAACUGACGCUGAGGAGCGAAAGCGUGGGGAGCGAACAGGAUUAGAUACCCUGGUAGUCCACGCCGUAAACGGUGGGUACUAGGUGUGGGUUUCCUUCCUUGGGAUCCGUGCCGUAGCUAACGCAUUAAGUACCCCGCCUGGGGAGUACGGCCGCAAGGCUAAAAA
rnacentral:rRNA from 1 species